GGAGAGGUGGCAGAGUGGUUGAAUGUACCUGACUCGAAAUCAGGCGUGGGCGCAAGCUCAUCGGGGGUUCGAAUCCCCCCUCUCCGCCA
rnacentral:tRNA from 1 species